AGAACUCAGAUACAGCCCUUUAAAAGAGCAAUUGUGCACAGUUUGUAAUCCUCUGUUGUGAGUGUUGAAGGUCUAUCUCAGAUGCCCAGUGACCUUACAGAAGACCAUACACAUACAGGUAUGCAGAUACAGGAUGCUAUAAAUAAGCCCCACUUGGGGAGUGCUCAGGUGAGCACACUGACAAAAUGGAAAGUCUACCUCCUACGUUGUGGCAUCUUUGACAACGGCUCUUUAAAAACAGAGAUGCAUGAAAUUUUAGGAUUGGCCUCCUAUGUGAAAGAGCAGCAUGCCCUGUUUCCUGUUGAUCCUCCUGAGGUGGCUCCUUCCAUGCCCACCAUUGAUGCACAAGGAAAUACACCUGACUCUGCAUUGAUUGGCACAUGGGCAAUCUGCUACCUGGACAGCUGUGACCGUCCAGCCCAAUACUGACACCAUCUAGUAGUAAGACAUCUGGACUCCCUGCCACAAAUGUAAGGGGUGGAAUGUGGCAACCUGUGGCCUGAGCAAAACGGGCCUGCAGAUCUUCGGUGCACAGCAGUCUGCAUGACCUAGACAGUUUCUCUUUCACUGCGGAUGGGGAAGGCUUCUACUCACCCUGAAGAUGUGUCAACUAACACUAGAAGAUAGUGGAAAUUUCUAGCUGCUCAAGACAUCACUGUAAAGUUUAUUUGCCAGUCUUCUCCAGGAACAUCCCAGAAAGGGGCUGCAGUGCUACAGCUAUCCACUUUUGAGUGGUGCUUGCAUAUCAUGCAGAACCAUUCUGUAAACCAGGCCUGAGUUUUCCCUUCCUCAGUCAACAGAUUGCAAAGAACUCCCCAAGAGGCCAGAGCUGUGGGCUGGGAAAGAGAAGGUUUUUGAACUUCUAGAACGCAAGAACCAUAUCUUUCAUCUUUGUAUUCUCAAUGCCUAUUACAAUGACUGGACAUAACUGC